AAACCCGUCUGAUAGCGC
rnacentral:snRNA from 1 species